UACGUAGGUGGCAAGCGUUGUCCGGAAUUAUUGGGCGUAAAGCGCGCGCAGGCGGUCCUUUAAGUCUGAUGUGAAAGCCCACGGCUCAACCGUGGAGGGUCAUUGGAAACUGGGGGACUUGAGUACAGAAGAGAAGAGUGGAAUUCCACGUGUAAGCGGUGAAAUGCGUAGAGAUGUGGAGGAACACCAGUGGCGAAGGCGACUCUUGGUCUGUAACUGACGCUGAGGCGCGAAAGCGUGGGGAGCAAACAGG
rnacentral:rRNA from 1 species